GUCCACGCUGUAAACGAUGAGUGCUAGUUGUCGGCAUGCAUGCAUGUCGGUGACGCAGCUAACGCAUUAAGCACUCCGCCUGGGGAGUACGGUCGCAAGAUUAAAACUCAAAGGAAUUGACGGGGGCCCGCACAAGUGGUGGAGCAUGUGGUUUAAUUCGAAGCAACGCGCAGAACCUUACCACCUUUUGACAUGUCCAGACCGCCGGAGAGAUCCGGUUUUCCCUUCGGGGACUGGAACACAGGUGCUGCAUGGCUGUCGU
rnacentral:rRNA from 1 species